CGUAACAAAUUCUGCUUUAUGAAGCAGGAAGGCCUCAUAAAAGUUUGCCAACUUUUCCCUGUCGCUGCACAACCAAAAGUCCAGGGGGCGGAGUCAGAUAAGAUCCAGCUCGUCCCACUAGGGCGGGGUCGAACCAUUCGACUGACCUCGGAAGCGGGAAUUUGGCGAAUGACGUCAUUUUCGAGCUCUGGGGCUAGCUAACUGCUGAGUGCCAUUCAGGGGUGGACUCGAUCUUCUGCUUCAGAUUGUUGUUUUGCAGCAUAAUCCAACUGCACUUGAGCAUCAGAUCAUGGACGUCCUCCUUCAGGAUUCUCUGUGGCUUUCACAGUGGCUUUCACUGUGUCAGAAUCCAUAGUUCUGUCAAUGGAGCAAACCAUCCCCAGGCCAUCACACUACCACCACCAUGUCUGACUGUUGGUAUGAUGUUCUUAUUAUGGAAUGCUGUUAGCUUUAUACCAGAAGUAAUGGGACUCAUGUCUUCCAAAAAAUUAUACUUUCAUCUCAUCAGUCUACAAAACAUUAUCCCAAAUAUUCUGAAGGUCAUCAAGGUGUUUUUUUGACAAAUGUGAGAUGAGCCUUUAUGUUCCUCUUGGUUAGCAGUGGGUUUUGCCUUGCAACACUCAUGGAUACCAUUUUCACCCAGUCUUAUUCUAAAUGUGAAAUUACAAACACUGGCCUUAUAUGAGGUGAGUGAGGCAUGUAGUCCCUUAGAUGGUCACCUGGUUCUUUUAUGACUUCGUGGAUAGGUUGUCAAUUAGCUCUUGUAAGAAUUUUGGUAUGCUGGCCACUUGUGGGAAGAUUCACCACUGUUCUAAGAUUUCUCCAUUUGGAGAUAAUGGCUGUCACUGUGGUUUGCUGGAGUCCCUGAGCCUUAGAAAUGGCUCCAUAACCAUUUUCAGACUGAUAUUUCAACAAUUUACUUUUUCAUCUCUUCCAGAAUUUCUUUUGAUUAUGGCAUAGUGUGCUGCUUGUUGAGACCUUUUAGCCAACUUCACAUUGCUGUAAAGGUUUUUAUGAGAGUGAUGUUUAAAUUGCACAGGGUUGGCAGUAAUCAAGCCAUGGUGCGUCUAGUCUAAUUGAACCCAAUUAUCAAUUAAAUCUGUUUAAUUGUUUGAGUAAAUAGGGGGGGGGGGCACUUAUUAAUAUUAACGAGUGAAGUGCUACCCGACUGACCAGUGAAAUACUCCAGCUCUGACACUUCAUACUACAGCUUUAAGAACCAUGGAAAUCCACAUCACCAAACGAAACGGUUUGCAAACCAAAGGCGUUUUCACACGGUCCGAAUACCCGAGACCACACCUAGACCUGAGCCUGGGCUUGUAUGGGCAAAAUGGUGAACACCAACACUAAAGUGAGGAAGAGCGCUUUUUGGAUCCGUGGCAUGUCAUCUUUGCAGGAAACGAGGAGCGGUUCUACAAGAACGUUUUUAGCCAUGCAGGCCCGCAGGAAAGGUGUGGUUUCCAUGACGCUCUCAGUGCGAACACUUGCACCACAAAGGUGAGCCAAUUACAGCAAUGCAGCCCUGAAAGUCUGGCUUUAUAAAACAAUAACGAUCCUUUCCCCUGCACCAUGGAAGCAGAAACAGGAAAUGGCCUUACAAGCUGAACCAAUCGCAUUGCUCGGCAUGCCGGAAAUCACAGCAGUAACACCGAGCACAGAGGACAUCCGACUGAAGAAAACAUUUUCAAGAGGACCAGGGAUCGAUUACCUGGACCGCUCCACGGCUCAAACAUAGCACCUAACUCCGGGUUCAAGCAGCUUGUGUUGUGUCCCAGAAAGAAACACAACCGUGAAAACAACCUUAGGUUGAAAAGUAAAUAAAAGGUAAACUGGCACAGUCACAAAAAAAAGAAACAAACUGUACAGGCUAUUAUU